rnacentral:rRNA from 1 species
UACGAACUGUGCGAACGUUAUUCGGAAUCACUGGGCUUACAGGGUGCGUAGGCGGCUUGUCAAGUAGGGUGUGAAAGCCCCCGGCUCAACCGGGGAAUGGCGCCCUAAACUGGCGAGCUAGAGUGAGAUAGGGGUGUGUGGAACUUCCGGUGGAGCGGUGAAAUGUGUUGAUAUCGGAAGGAACGCCGGUGGCGAAAGCGACACACUGGAUCUUGUCUGACGCUGAGGCACGAAAGCCAGGGGAGCGAACGGG